GAUGAACGCUGGCGGCGUGCUUAACACAUGCAAGUCGAACGAAGCACUUUACCUGAUUUCCUUCGGGGAUGAUUGUUCUGUGACUGAGUGGCGGACGGGUGAGUAACGCGUGGAUAACCUGCCUCACACAGGGGGAUAACAGUUGGAAACGGCUGCUAAUACCGCAUAAGCGCACAGCACCACAUGGUGCAGUGUGAAAAACUCCGGUGGUGUGAGAUGGAUCCGCGUCUGAUUAGCUUGUUGGCGGGGUAACGGCCCACCAAGGCGACGAUCAGUAGCCGGCCUGAGAGGGCGACCGGCCACAUUGGGACUGAGACACGGCCCAGACUCCUACGGGAGGCAGCAGUGGGGAAUAUUGCACAAUGGGGGAAACCCUGAUGCAGCGACGCCGCGUGAGCGAUGAAGUAUUUCGGUAUGUAAAGCUCUAUCAGCAGGGAAGAUAAUGACGGUACCUGACUAAGAAGCUCCGGCUAAAUACGUGCCAGCAGCCGCGGUAAUACGUAUGGAGCAAGCGUUAUCCGGAUUUACUGGGUGUAAAGGGAGCGUAGGCGGUUCUGCAAGUCUGAUGUGAAAGGCCGGGGCUCAACCCCGGGACUGCAUUGGAAACUGUAGGACUAGAGUGUCGGAGGGGUAAGUGGAAUUCCUAGUGUAGCGGUGAAAUGCGUAGAUAUUAGGAGGAACACCAGUGGCGAAGGCGGCUUACUGGACGACUACUGACGCUGAGGCUCGAAAGCGUGGGGAGCAAACAGGAUUAGAUACCCUGGUAGUCCACGCCGUAAA
rnacentral:rRNA from 1 species